rnacentral:tRNA from 2 species
AGAGAAAAUUUUAAAGUUACUGCUAAUAAUUUUUUGUCAAUUUGUUUUGACUUUCUCUU